rnacentral:lncRNA from 10 species
GCCAGCCAUGGCAACGUGGUGUGGUCUGCUUCUGCACUGUGGAAGCUUUGUUCUUUGGCUCUUCACAGUGAAUCUUCCUAUUGCCUACUCUUCGGGUCUGUGCCACUUUUAUGAGCUGUAACACUCAUUGGGAAGUUCUGCAGUUUCACUCCUGAGGCCAGCAAGACCACGAACCCACUGGAAGGAAUGAACAGCUCCAGACCUGCCACCUUUAAGAGCUGUAACACUCACCUCGAAGGUCUGCAGCUUCACUUGUGAAGUGAGCGAGACCACGAACCCACCCAAAGGAAGAAACUCUGGACACAUCUGAAGGAACGAACUCCAGACACACCUUAUCUAAGAACUGUAACACUUACCGCGAGGGUCCGCAGCUUCAGUCUGGAAGUCAGCGAGACCAAGAACCGACCAAUUCCGGACACAUUAGGCAUGGAAGCCUUUCCAGUUGUGAGUAAUUUGCUGAUUCAUUGUCAAGAGGAGACAAAUGAAACAAAAGGGAAAAUUCGUGUGCUGCUUAAACACAGAAUGAAC